rnacentral:rRNA from 1 species
CCUACGGGUGGCAGCAGUCGAGAAUCAUUCACAAUGGGGGAAACCCUGAUCGUGCGACGCCGCGUGGGGGAAUGAAGGUCUUCGGAUUGUAAACUUCUGUUAUGUGGGAGCAAAUUAAAAAGAUAGUACCACAAGAGGAAGAGACGACUAACUCUGUGCCAGCAGCCGCGGUCCUACAGCGGGCUUAAUCGUGAUUCGGAGUCCUUGGUCCUAAAGGGUGCGUAGUCUGUUUCGUAAGGCGUGGGUGAAAGGCGCGGGGUCAACCCGCGGAUGGCAGAUGAUACUGGGAGACUAGAGUAAUGGAGAGGGAAGCGGAAUUCGCGGUGUAGCAGUGAAAUGCGUAGAUAUCGAGAGGAACACUCAUGGCGAAGGCAGGUUACUGGACAUUAACUGACGCUGAGGCACGAAAGCCAGGGGAGCGAAAGGGAUUAGAUACCCCAGUAGUC